GCUUGCUGGGUGGAUUAGUGGCGAACGGGUGAGUAACACGUGAGUAACCUGCCCCUGACUUCGGGAUAACUCCGGGAAACCGGGGCUAAUACCGGAUAUGAGCCGCUUCCGCAUGGGGGUGGUUGGAAAGUUUUUCGGUCAGGGAUGGGCUCGCGGCCUAUCAGCUUGUUGGUGGGGUGAUGGCCUACCAAGGCGACGACGGGUAGCCGGCCUGAGAGGGCGACCGGCCACACUGGGACUGAGACACGGCCCAGACUCCUACGGGAGGCAGCAGUGGGGAAUAUUGCACAAUGGGCGCAAGCCUGAUGCAGCGACGCCGCGUGAGGGAUGACGGCCUUCGGGUUGUAAACCUCUUUCAGCAGGGAAGAAGCGCAAGUGACGGUACCUGCAGAAGAAGCGCCGGCUAACUACGUGCCAGCAGCCGCGGUAAUACGUAGGGCGCAAGCGUUGUCCGGAAUUAUUGGGCGUAAAGAGCUCGUAGGCGGUCUGUCGCGUCUGGUGUGAAAACUCGAGGCUCAACCUCGAGCUUGCAUCGGGUACGGGCAGACUAGAGUGCGGUAGGGGAGACUGGAAUUCCUGGUGUAGCGGUGGAAUGCGCAGAUAUCAGGAGGAACACCGAUGGCGAAGGCAGGUCUCUGGGCCGCAACUGACGCUGAGGAGCGAAAGCAUGGGGAGCGAACAGGAUUAGAUACCCUGGUAGUCCAUGCCGUAAACGUUGGGCACUAGGUGUGGGGCUCAUUCCACGAGUUCCGUGCCGCAGCAAACGCAUUAAGUGCCCCGCCUGGGGAGUAC
rnacentral:rRNA from 1 species